rnacentral:lncRNA from 1 species
AUGCAAUUGAAUGUACCUCAUUCCUCACUGGCAUAGUAGAUAUAAACUAUUCUUCUGCCUGCCUUUUACUGCCUUAUUCUUGAAAUACUGGGGAAAAUAAGCCAUAUCACUGAGAUUACCUAAAAACAAAAGAAUGAAAGUCACUGUGAAAACCAAGUUGACUAAUUUCAUUUUAGGUUUGUGGAGCAUAAUUGGCCUAGAAGUCAGGGCACCUCAGUUCCAGUGUGUACUCUGUUGGCUGGUAGAUUCAGGAGCUUGGGUCUUGGUUUUUUUAUCUGAUGAGCAAAUCAAGAUCUCCAAAAUCCUUCUCACCCUCAACAUCGUGUGAAUUGGGGGGAAGGGUGGGUUCUUGGGUUGGUUUCUUUCCUAUACAAAUUCCUAGCUUUAUUACAAAAAAAUAUAGCCCAUGAGCAGUUAAGGAAUGUAUACUUGAUACUGAUUCAAAAUAAGAAUUCUAUACAAUACUAGUAAACUAUUUAGAGAAAGCAGUGUGCCCUUGGGAAAAGGAAGGGAAUAGCACUGAAAAUACCAAAAAUUAUUGACAAUAAUUGAGGUGGGGGGUGAUGUUCUAAAGCAAUUUUACUGGCUUCUAGGGAAAGGAAACAAUAUUGCUAUGGAACAUGUUAAUGAGAGGAAGUGGGCAAAGAGUACAAAAGUAUAACCAUGAAAUUUCCUAAGCAUCUCACCUGCAUGGCACUGUCUACAGACAGCUGUUCUGGAUUUUGUCCUUUCCACACAGCGUCCAGCCAGUCCCCUUCCUUGCUGUUAGUACCUUAGCCUCUCUGCUAACUCACCUCAGUGAGCACUCCCUGAAAGAGGAACACUUAGCCAUCUCUAGCUCAAGGGGAUUUGAGGAGUUUGCCAUGUGGGGCAAGUUUUCUUCCUAAAGGAAUGAGAGGAAGGCAAGCAGGUUAGGUGCUGGACAGGCCCACAGUUGCUGGGGUGUCCGGCUCUCCAGGCAAAGUGUCCUCAAUUUGUGUGAUGGAUUCCCCAGGACAAGAGUCACCCAGACUCCAGUGUCAGUGCAGAGCCUGCCCUCAAGCUCAGAAUGCUUUGGGGGAUUGACCACAACUGGGCAUUGGCCACAUGGUAACCAAUCUAUGGCCAUCAGGCCCUCCCCAGGCAAAAGAAUGUUUGGUCCUCAGCUCCUUAAAUGAUUGCCUUACACAGGCAAAGCACUGCUGCAGAAGUCUGUUGAAGGCUGAACACCUUACGCUGAUAGAACUCAGCUUCUGAUUCAAAAGAAAAGCUUUAAGGACUCAGAGGUUCGUGCCCCUGAUGAUAACAGCAACUAACCUCAUUCUGUAUGAAACUGACGGGGUGCUUAGUUAUCUCAAGACUCCAUCUCAUAGAGCUUGAUUGUGAGGGAUUUGCUCCUGAUUUUCUUUUUACAUUGUCCAGACAUCUAAAUCGAGUGUGGACCUGAUAGAAACAGUUUUCACACCUGCCCUACCCAUGGGAAGACACUGCAGUGGAGGAGAACACACCCACACUGCUGGGUUCUUAUUUAUAACUCUCUCCCCCUUAGGGACUGGAAGGGGUGGACACACACCAUGCACUCUUACAUACCUAUCUGUGUGUACUUUGCUCUUCGGCUUAGACGUGCAGUUCUUCCAGAAACAGUGAAAACAGUAAGAGAUUUCUCUCUUUGAGUCUGCCCAAAACACCACGUACUGCCUCUGAUCCUCUUCCAGUCCAGUGAGCCUCAGUCCUCAGUGACACUUGACGUGUUAAUGCUCAGCCCAGCGACGCCCUCACUUGUGCCCGGAUGGACACCACCUGAGCCUGCAGUGCAAGCAUCGGGAGGAAUGCCAGACCAGCUCUGCUCCAGCCACACCGUUCUCCAUCCUCGUUGCUCCUUGCAGACAGGUGUACAAGCCUUGGUCCCCCAACACUAAGUCCUCCCACCCCGACUCAGCCUCUUUGGAACUGCUGAGCACCCUCAGAGCAUGUCCUUGUCAGUGAUACAUUUUUACUCUACGGAACUCUGACCCAUCCGUGUCAUAUUGACCUUUUGCUGCAUGAGUCCUAAAUUAUGAAGUCGGUCAUGGUUUUUGAGAUGUAGCCAGCGUUUGUAAGGCUAAACCUUUUUCAUGAACUUUUUAAGUGACUAACCAAGCCACAGUCCUCCUCAAAAGGAGAGUAACGACAGACAUUUAAAUCCCUGUGCCCUCUCCAAUGGCCAUGGCAUCAGGUUCUAAAAUAAGCUCGUAAUUUUUCCUGUUAUUUUAAUAAUAUGGAAAUAUUAGCAUAGUGUUUCUUUUGAUAGUGAUAGACUGUAAUCCAUAUUUAAAUUUUAUAGAGAAAUUUUAUUGUACUGUGAUGUAGAUAUUUAUUAUCCAGGUAAGGAUUUGCCCAGUGUGUAUUUUUUACAGUUGAAACAUUUUACUUUAAUCUUUAAAAAAAAAAUGCAUUAAAACACACACACACAAAAAAAACAGACUAGGGAGAAAAAAAGGUUUGGCCUUAUCACAGAAUUUUUACUGUGCUGUAUAAAUGUUUGCAAAUGCAAAAAGUGUGCAUUUCUAGUGUGUUUCACAUUACUUAAUGCUGCCUUCAAGAGCAAUAUCAUGCAGUUAGUAAAACGCUGUUUGUGGCUUUCUGUUGCACAGUUAAAGCUGACCCACCUUAUGCACAAGACAAUCAAAUAUCAGUCUGUCCUCAGGAUGCAGAUAAUCCUCGUGUAAAUUAUGGAGCACAAUGUGAGACAGAAGAAAUUUUACACAUGCAUUGAUAUGGAUGAUCAGGGCCUGAAUUAGCUGACAUGACUUCGUACCAUUUCUUUCAGUUCUUCCUUAUGGACUUGGCAUCUUUAAUUUGCUGAGAGCCAAAUUAGUUCUCCAUGCUUUCCACAGAGAAAACACUUCUCUUUCUUUUUAUACUAUUUUCAUGCCCUGAAUAUCAGAAAAAUGCUACAGGAUAGAAG